rnacentral:rRNA from 1 species
AUUGAACGCUGGCGGCAGGCCUAACACAUGCAAGUCGAGCGGUUGACGGGAGCUUGCUCCCUGAUUCAGCGGCGGACGGGUGAGUAAUGCCUAGGAAUCUGCCUAUUAGUGGGGGACAACGUUUCGAAAGGAACGCUAAUACCGCAUACGUCCUACGGGAGAAAGCAGGGGACCUUCGGGCCUUGCGCUAAUAGAUGAGCCUAGGUCGGAUUAGCUUGUUGGUGAGGUAAUGGCUCACCAAGGCGACGAUCCGUAACUGGUCUGAGAGGAUGAUCAGUCACACUGGAACUGAGACACGGUCCAGACUCCUACGGGAGGCAGCAGUGGGGAAUAUUGGACAAUGGGCGAAAGCCUGAUCCAGCCAUGCCGCGUGUGUGAAGAAGGUCUUCGGAUUGUAAAGCACUUUAAGUUGGGAGGAAGGGUUGUAGAUUAAUACUCUGCAAUUUUGACGUUACCGACAGAAUAAGCACCGGCUAACUCUGUGCCAGCAGCCGCCGUAA